CUCCACUGCUACCUCCAGUGAGAAAGCUGGAUUUCUGCUGACCAAGGACUACUGAACUACCUUGCAUCAUUGCUAAUUGAGCAGCAUUUGGAGACAUUCCAGGUGGCGGUGGCUAUUAAAUAAAUUAAGACAUAAUAAAGAUCAAAGCCAGUCUCUCUAAUAAUUUGAGAAGCUAGUUUUAAAAUCCCUACAAAUGCAUGGAAGAAAGAUAUCAGAAAAUGGCUCACAGAGAAAGUAACUUCCUGAUUACUAUUUUGAAAAAAAUUGAGUUAUUUAAAAUUUCUUCAAAACAGAAAAAUCAUAAUUAACAAGUGUUUUCAGCAUCCAGAGAUCUUUGCAAUACUGUGCAUUAUAUUACUGUACUCGGUAAGUUAGAUUGUGCAUUGAUGUAGACUGAAUUUUUUGAGCUUAUUUUCUGUGAAUAUAAAUUCAGAAGUAUAAUCUCAGCUCAUUAAAACUUCUGUACAGAGCUUAUAUUAAAUUACUGUACUGUACAUUCAUAUUAUCUGAGAAAACACUGACAGUCUCCACCCCCUAUUAGUCCAAGUUAGUAGGAUGUUCACCAUAUAUAAAUAUAAAAAUUUAUUUUGUAUGUUUUCUACAAAGACAAAUCACUUAUAAUUGUUUUGUAUAACAAAUAAACAUUAAUAUUUUAAAAAGUAAUG